AGAAGGAAUGGUACCAGCUCCUCCUUCUACCUCUGGUAGAAUUCAGAUGUGAAUCCAUCUGGUCCUGGACUUUGUUUGGUUGGAGGUGAAGUAAUCUGCUGGAGAAGGGCCAGGAAUGUAAGAUGAGAGAUUUAAGGAGAGUGGAAGAGUGGCUUAACAACAACAACAGUAACAAAGAAGCAUUGUUGAGGCUCCAUUGGAAACUGGUCAUGAAUGUGGUAGAACCAAGCUACCAUGUCAUGUGACACAGAAGUAAAUAGUUGGGCUCACCAAACUUCAUGCUUUGUAAGUAAAUACAGUUAAAAGACAAGAGGUAGAAGAAUUUGGGAUUAUUGAAAAGAUGAAUUUUAUUCCUGGAAUGGUGGCCUAAAAGCUCUAAUUUGGAUAAGAAUGAAAUAAAGAGAAUGAAAGCUGAUACAUUUGGGUAAACUGAAAUGGUCAGUGACCUACAGGUCCCAAGUAAGGUUAAAAACAAAGCUGUAAAAUGGAGGUAGAGUUGAACCCUAUUUCAGACAAGCUGAAAAUGAGAGGGUUGUAGGGUCAGAGGUAGGUGCUAAAAUUUGUGAUAUUGGAAAUGGAGAGAUUACAGGUGAUAACAAUGUCUGAGGUGGAGCUGUGGCAUGGAUGACUUAGGUGCAUUGGAGAGUAAAGCCAGGAGGAGAGAAGGAACUGAGAGGCCUUUAUACCGGCUGUUGAACCUGGGGCACUGAAGUAACUCAAAAUGAUGGCGGGCUUGGGGUAGAGAGAAGAAUGGUAAACCAAAGGCCAAUGUCUUUCACUGGCCGGGAGGUUAGAAUGGCCUAGCUGAGUGGCAUAGGCUUCAAGCAGGAGGUAGCU
rnacentral:lncRNA from 10 species